rnacentral:rRNA from 1 species
GACAGAGGGUGCAGACGUUGUCGAAUGAUCUGGGCGUAAAGCGCGUGUAGGCGGCAGCGUGUGUCGGGCGUGAAAUCCCAUGGCUUAACCAUGGAAGUGCACCCGAAACUGCGCAGCUAGAGUCCUGGAGAGGAAGAUGGAAUACUUGGUGUAGAGGUGAAAUUCGUAGAUAUCAAGUGGAACACCGGUGGCGAAGGCGGUCUUCUGGACAGUGACUGACGCUGAGACGCGAAAGCGUGGGGAGCAAACAGG